rnacentral:rRNA from 1 species
AGUGAACGCUGGCGGUAGGCCUAACACAUGCAAGUCGAACGGCAGCACAGUAAGAGCUUGCUCUUACGGGUGGCGGGUGGCGGACGGGUGAGGAAUACAUCGGAAUCUACUUUUUCGUGGGGGAUAACGUAGGGAAACUUACGCUAAUACCGCAUACGACCUCCGGGUGAAAGCAGGGGAUCUUCGGACCUUGCGCGAUUGAAUGAGCCGAUGUCGGAUUAGCUAGUUGGCGGGGUAAAGGCCCACCAAGGCGACGAUCCGUAGCUGGUCUGAGAGGAUGAUCAGCCACACUGGAACUGAGACACGGUCCAGACUCCUACGGGAGGCAGCAGUGGGGAAUAUUGGCCAAUGGGCGCAAGCCUGAUCCAGCCAUACCGCGUGGGUGAAGAAGGCCUUCGGGUUGUAAAGCCCUUUUGUUGGGAAAGAAAAGCAGCAGGUUAAUACCCCGCUGUUCUGACGGUACCCAAAGAAUAAGCACCGGCUAACUUCGUG